rnacentral:rRNA from 1 species
AGCGAACGCUGGCGGCAGGCCUAAUACAUGCAAGUCGAACGCCCCUUCGGGGGAGUGGCGGACGGGUGAGUAACGCGUGGGAACGUGCCCUUUGGUUCGGAACAACACAGGGAAACUUGUGCUAAUACCGAAUGUGCCCUUCGGGGGAAAGAUUUAUCGCCAUUGGAGCGGCCCGCGUUGGAUUAGCUAGUUGGUGGGGUAAUGGCCCACCAAGGCGACGAUCCAUAGCUGGUCUGAGAGGAUGAUCAGCCACACUGGGACUGAGACACGGCCCAGACUCCUACGGGAGGCAGCAGUAGGGAAUCUUGCGCAAUGGGCGAAAGCCUGACGCAGCCAUGCCGCGUGAAUGAUGAAGGUCUUAGGAUUGUAAAAUUCUUUCACCGGGGAAGAUAAUGACGGUACCCGGAGAAGAAGCCCCGGCUAACUUCGUGCCAGCCGCCGCCGUAAUAC